rnacentral:lncRNA from 1 species
UGGUUUCUGAGAGAGGAUCUUACGACGUUCAUGACACGUGUUUUUCACGUGACGGGUAAAGUCGACAUUUGCAACUGCAUAGUAAUUAUUUUGGGCUUUAAAUGGGCCAAUCUUGAGCCCAAAAAAUAACGUGAGCAAACAAAAUUAGAAAUAAUUUCUGCAAAAUUCAUAUAUGCUUCAGCACUGACAUGCUUCAUCUAAUUUGCUGAUCUCCCUAAAGGGGAGAAAAAUAAUGGUGGGAAUAGACCAUAUUCUUGUACAAGGAAGAUUUAGGAUGGAUGAAAGCUAAUAAUGCUUUUACCUUGCUACUUAUAACUCAGGAUGAAGAACAUGAGUAAUCCUCGAAGACUAGUGUUUCUCUUUUGGAUAUGCAGAAGCAACAUUUGCAGGGAAGGAAUGCAGCAUAAAACAUGGCAGUAUCUUCAUGACAAGGAUCGAUGAGAAGUACAAGGGUGUUUACUUCGACAUUGUUGUGUAAAAUGGAGGAAAGCGGUGUACUGAGCAUCAAACUAUUGUUCUCACAACGUCAAGAACACUCUGCCACUUCACAUGGAGCAAAGCGAAGCAGACUGGCAGAGACGUGUGUUCCUACCUGACGUGCUUGGAAGUUGCAGGCGGCAUUACAGUGUGGAAGUCGCAGAGUGAAGCCUCGCCAAGCGGCUCCAGAAGGCCGGCGGCCUGGACCGUGAACGCGCGACGCACUGAUGAAUCUGUGUAAUCCUUGCAACCAGCAGCACUAAUCGUCUGCACGGCGCGAGAACGAGGGUGAGGGGAACGAUCCAGAUUCCCAGUUCCAGUAUCAGCAUUGUGAGGUGCUCUUCUCUUUGCUGGUUACUCGGCCCCUGCAAGCAAGCAAGCAAUCUCGAUGAUGCUUGCAAGUCUUAAAUAGCUGGCAGACCUCAUGUUCUUGUUCCAAUCAUCUCUUUUUUAUCACUGUCAAAAGGUUUUGCCAUGGGACUACCUUGUUCACAGGGUGCUUUCAAGUGGGGUUCUUCCGGUACAUGGCUUCCAAUGCCCUUUGGGUCGUGGGAUUCACCAAGUAACAUGAUGAUGCACUUUGCUUGGCGUGUUAGCAAGGCGAUAAGAUUGCGGACACUCAACAGCGGUGCAGCUAUUAUUGCUGGCUAUUCGGUUAUCUGCCGUCAAUCAUGCUUCAUCAGACCCACAACUGUGAGAGCAGAGAGUGAUUGGAACAAGAACAAGAAGCCAUGUGCAGCUGUUGAGAGAGAAUCUUGUUGUGCCAUGGAAUGCUGUCUUUGAAUGAUCAACACUAAGCAAUAUCAGAAACAAAGGAUCAUAUUUCUCAUUAGGUCAGGUAAGAUUGAGUUCUGAUAAGAUAUUUGGUUCCUGUCCAUUUUGUAAUUGAUGUAUUUGAUGUCGAGCUCUAAGAAUUAAGGAUCACAAUUUUCUUCUUGAGACUGCACAUCUGAGACGCAAUUCUUCUUCUUCGUGGAUUAACAGUAAGGCAUCAAUGAUGAAGUGUUGGGGGUCAGGAUUUUGGAUGGCUCCUUCGAUACCUAUUUGAAAGGAAGGUUUUCUGCUCCAAGCUUUCUUCUUCUCCAUUGCUUUGACAGAUAAGAUAUCCAGAACCUGGC